UUCCAGGCCCUACGGGGGGCAGCAGUGAGGGAUUUUCGGCAAUGGGCGAAAGCCUGACCGAGCGACGCCGCGUGAGCGAAGAAGGCCUUCGGGUCGUAAAGCUCUGUCUAGGGGGACGAGAGAGGACGGUACCCCU
rnacentral:rRNA from 1 species